rnacentral:rRNA from 1 species
UACGGAGGGUGCAAGCGUUAUCCGGAAUCACUGGGUUUAAAGGGUGCGUAGGCGGCUUAGUAAGUCAGGAGUGAAAGCCUGCGGCUUAACCGUAGAAAUGCUUUUGAUACUGCUGAGCUUGAAUUAGGUUGAGGUUGGCGGAAUGUGACAUGUAGCGGUGAAAUGCAUAGAUAUGUCAUAGAACACCAAUUGCGAAGGCAGCUGACUAGACCUGAAUUGACGCUGAGGCACGAAAGCGUGGGGAGCUAACAGG